GUAAACCUGAGAAACCCAAAAGAUCGAAUGAGGAGAUUCAUCGUCAGCACACCUAGUAUAUGUGCAAGUUAUGAUACGAGUUAUUAUUCUUGUAAUGAUGCUUGUACGUACUUGUAUUAUUUUGGCUGGGAGUUGUCGGCGUGCACUUCUCCUCUAGUAGGACGUCGCGACCCGUUGGGUGUCGUUCUAUGACCCGGAUGGUAGCCUUUAUUUCUUUAUUGAUUUUAAAGACCACUGGUGAUCUGAUCGGCUGCUCGGCGGUACUCGCACGGUAUUGAGUCGCAAUUUAUUUUGCGUUGAGCUCGUUGCAAGCGCGGCCAUUUCCCGGUAGUGCGGAUUUAAUGCCGUCAUUGGGGAUGGCCAGCUGUUGGUUGACGGUGUUCUUUAACUGGCUCAUUUACCGGUCAGCGACGCUAUUGCUUUGG
rnacentral:rRNA from 1 species